CAGCCGUGCGUUGGGGCACAUAGCGAACUAUUCUUUCGCCUUUUACUAAAGUAUAUCGUGUGCUCGUCGUUUAAAAGUGGCAUACACCAUUUUUUGGAGUGGUUUCCCUCUACGGGAAAC